UACGUAGGGGGCUAGCGUUAUCCGGAAUUACUGGGCGUAAAGGGUGCGUAGGUGGUUUCUUAAGUCAGAGGUGAAAGGCUACGGCUCAACCGUAGUAAGCCUUUGAAACUGGGGAACUUGAGUGCAGGAGAGGAGAAUGGAAUUCCUAGUGUAGCGGUGAAAUGCGUAGAUAUUAGGAGGAACGCCAGUUGCGAAGGCGGCUCUCUGGACUGUAACUGACACUGAGGCACGAAAGCGUGGGGAGCAAACAGG
rnacentral:rRNA from 1 species